ensembl:lncRNA
CUGGCCUCCCAGCCUUUCUCUGCUUCCUCACUCAUGAUGCCAGCAGGCUGCUCUAUCGCUACCCGCAUCUAGAGGCCUCAAGCAAUGUGGUCACUUGAUCCUAGACUGGAACCUCUAGAACCAAGAGCUAAAUGAGACUUUUCUCUUAUGACUUAAUUGCCUCAGAUGCUCUUAGCAUAGUGAUUAUUAUGGCUUGUGUUUAGAAGCCCCCUAAAGUCUCAUGCAGUUUCAUCAGGUGCUACUGACUCUUAGGACUCAGAAGGUUCCCCUCUCUCCUGUGUUUGAGCUGUUCCAGUUCUCAGCCUGAACUUCGCACCCCUCAUACAGUGGCCUGGGGAUUUCUGAAUCUGUCACACCAUGAGCAAGCAGAAGAGGAAGAGCAAUAUUUCUGGACUAUUCAUCAAGACAUCUCAUUCCACAAGCAGCAUCUGACUUUGUUAAGAAACAAAAAGGCAUUCAACCAGAAGCCAGAGGCAACAUGAUUUAUGGGGUUGGAAGAAUCAUUGUUUUAACCAUCUCAAAAUAGAAUCUUCUCUAUAAGAGCAAGGAUCAUGUUUCAUUUCUGAAUGCUACUGCCUAGCUCAGCAUCUGCUACACAGCAGGCACUCAAUAAAUGUAUCUUGGAUGAAAGGAG